CUGUGAAGCCCAGAACAGAAGAGGACGUCAUAACUCCACCUUACAUCUGAUUGUUGUGGCAGGGAAUUCAACAAUAGUAAUGAAUAUCAUCAGGUUGACUCUGGUGGUCUUGAUGCUGAUUCCUCUGCUUCUCCUGAAUCUGUGGACGAGG